GGGUGGUCGUCGGCGGCGGCGUCGCCGGCGCGCUCGCGGCGAGCCCGCCGCACGGCACGACACCGUGGAUCGCCCU
rnacentral:tRNA from 1 species